GACGAACGCUGGCGGCGUGCUUAACACAUGCAAGUCGAACGGAAAGGCGCUGCUUUUGUGGGGUGCUCGAGUGGCGAACGGGUGUGUAACAAGUGAGUAUCCUGCCCUUGACUUUGGGAUAACUUCAGGAAACUGGGGAUACUACCGGAUAGGAGCUCCUGCUGCAUGGUGGGGGUUGGAACGUUUCGGCGGUUGGGGAUGGAUGCGCGGCUUAUCAGCUUGUUGGUGGGGUAGCGGCUUACCAAGGCUUUGACGGGUAGCCGGCCUGAGAGGGUGACCGGCCACAUUGGGACUGAGAUACGGCCCAGACUCCUACGGGGGGCAGCAGUGGGGAAUAUUGCACAAUGGGCGGAAGCCUGAUGCAGCAACGCCGCGUGCGGGAUGACGGCCUUCGGGUUGUAAACCGCUUUCGCCUGUGACGAAGCGUGAGUGACGGUAAUGGGUAAAGAAGCACCGGCUAACUACGUG
rnacentral:rRNA from 1 species